UACGACUACAUAUCAGGCAUAUCAAUAAGCGGAGGAAAAGAAACUAACUAGGAUUCCCUCAGUAACGGCGAGUGAAGCGGGAAGAGCUCAAAUUUGAAAUCUUCAAGGUUUUACCCUGACGAAUUGUAGUUUAAAGAAGUGUUUUCUGUUGGAGUUUUGGUAAAAGUUCUUUGGAAUAGGACAUCAUAGAGGGUGAGAAUCCCGUAUUUGACCAUUAUUUUCAGCUGUGUGAUACACUUUCAAAGAGUCGGAUUGUUUGGGAAUGCAGUCCAUAAAUGGGUGGUAAAUUUCAUCUAAAGCUAAAUAUUGGCGAGAGGCCGAUAGCGAACAAGUACCGUGAGGGAAAGAUGAAAAGAACUUUGAAAAGAGAGUUAAACAGUACGUGAAAUUGUCAAAAGGGAAGCGUUUGACACCAGUGUUGUUUUCUCGAAAAUCAAUUAAAAAGAGUUGGAUUUUGUGUUGUAUUGACCUUAACAGCUUGCUUCACUCUUUUCCAGCUUUUUUUAAUGCACUUUUCGUUUAACAAGUCAACAUCAGUUUCUUUUGUUGUAAAAGGGCCAUUGGAAGGUGGCUUUCUUUUCGGAGAAAGUGUUUAUAGCCUUUGGCCUCUUCAAUCGGAGAGAUUGAGGUCCGCAGCGUAGAUCCUUCGGGGUUAGAUACAUUUGUGCUAAGUUAUAGCCUUUCAUAGACAACUUGUUGACUAUGAUCAGUCAUGUAGCUUACUCGCUUAUGCUAUUUUACCUACGCUUAGGAUGUUGAGCGCAUGUCUCUCUCU
rnacentral:rRNA from 1 species